ACAACUAGUGCCAGACGAAGCUUGCUUUCACCCUAGAAGAGAAGAUCUCUCAGAGUUGGAGAUGGCAAUUUCCAGUCCUAAGAAAUGGAUUCUAACCUGUAAAUCCUACCCACUCUCGAGGACUCUUGAAGUGCCCUGGUUCUGGCAGUGGGAAGAAGACCCUGUCCACACUAGUCCCCCUCACUUGCACAGAGGGGGACCCCAGACAACUCUGCCUGCAGGCCGCCCAUCUCGGCAGUACCGUUUUCUUAAGCAUCAAGGCUUUUCCAGGGGUAAGCAGCCCACCUUUAUUGGCUUUGCAGUGACAGCAUUUAUUUUCAGUCUUGUUUUCAGGGGAAUGUACCUUCAUACAUUCUUCACUGAUGCUCAGAUACGUGUAAGAGCAAAGUGGGAAUCAAGUAAGGCUUCUUUAUCUCGUGAAGCUGCAUUGCAAGCUGCUGAAGCCUUGAGCUUCUUCCAGCAUUGUCUGCAAAGACAGCAGCUUUUGGGGCUGAGUUUAGAGCCUGAGUGAACUCCUGGGGGUCCUUUUCCCCAGGAGCUGUGCACAUGGUGAGUUUUAUGCCAAUACAGUUCCCGUGCUGGCAUCUGGUACCACACUGCCACGUGCUCGUCAGUGGAAGGGGGGAACGGGUGUCAGGCAGCAUUAGUGUUUCCUGCCAUUCAAAGCUGAAGGAGUUUAUUACAGUAUGUGACAGGAGCUGUUCUCGUGUGCCUUUGGUUGCAGAUGUGGCCACAGGUGCUGGCUCUGCAUCUCUUCAGUGGAAUCCUGAUUCUGAGUCUUGGAGAGGUCACCUGGGUACAUUGGCUCUAUAUAUUUCAUGAGGGAGCUGCCAGGCUACACCCAGGAGGUCAACCCAGCCACUCUGCAGGCAUUUCUUAGGAAGCUGUUUAUUGCAGCAUUUCACACUAGCUUUCUU
rnacentral:lncRNA from 1 species